CUGCUCUCACCUAGCUUGUACCUCGGAUCAGAUGACUUACAGUUGCUCAGACAGAAAGGGCUGAUGUUCCCAGCGUUCACCAGUCCAAAACGGCUCCCUCAGCCGCGCACAGGCACUGGCUCUGCUCCGGCGCUAGCACAGAACAAGUUACACCAGCACAGCCCCUCCAGAGAAACGAGGCCUCAGCCGUGGGCUGCUGCCAAACACUACUCAUACUGAGUGCAGGCCCACACCUCCGCUCGGGGGGUCUGUUCACCCCAGAGCAGCGAGUCUCAAAGCAGAGGAGGUGGAAAAUAGCACAUGCAAAGCUGUAAUGCCACAAAACUCACCCCGACCUGAGGUUUCUGAGCUCUCCAGGGAAUCCACCUUCAAUGCAUCAAACACCUCAAAGUCAGACUUCUUGACGUGGAUUAGGUUGUUAAUCGUCCCCAUCUGGCUGGUGACCACGGGCUGGAGAGAACUGAGGCUCCUACAUCACCUCCUAUUUUCAUCCUCCAUCCUGUUACACGGGUGUGUUCUCCUUCCCAUGCUGCUACCGCAUGAUCCAGUUUGGAGAACCUGCAAUUGCAUCCUGUCUAGUUCCCUGAAGAAGACA